AACGCGAAGAACCUUACCAAGGCUUGACAUAUAGCGAAAAGUGGCAGAGAUGUCAUGUCCGCAAGGGCGCUAUACAGGUGGUGCAUGGUUGUCGUCAGCUCGUGUCGUGAGAUGUUGGGUUAAGUCCCGCAACGAGCGCAACCCUCGUUCUGUGUUACCAGCAUUCAGUUGGGGACUCACAGGAGACUGCCGGGGUCAACUCGGAGGAAGGUGGGGAUGACGUCAAAUCAUCAUGCCCCUUAUGUCUUGGGCUGCACGCAUGCUACAAUGGCCGGUACAAAGUGCUGCGAGAUCGUAAGAUUGAGCGAAUCACAUAAAGCCGGUCUCAGUUCGGAUUGGGGUCUGCAACUCGACCUCAUGAAGUCGGAGUUGCUAGUAAUCGUAGAUCAGCAACGCUACGGUGAAUACGUUCCCGGGUCUUGUACACACCG
rnacentral:rRNA from 1 species